GAGGAAUAUUGGUCAAUGGGCGAGAGCCUGAACCAGCCAAGUAGCGUGCAGGAUGACGGCCCUAUGGGUUGUAAACUGCUUUUGUAUGGGGAUAAAGUCAAUCACGUGUGAUUGUUUGCAGGUACCAUACGAAUAAGGACCGGCUAAUUCCGUGCCAGCAGCCGCGGUAAUACGGAAGGUCCGGGCGUUAUCCGGAUUUAUUGGGUUUAAAGGGAGCGUAGGCUGGAGAUUAAGUGUGUUGUGAAAUGUAGACGCUCAACGUCUGAAUUGCAGCGCAUACUGGUUUCCUUGAGUACGCACAACGUUGGCGGAAUUCGUCGUGUAGCGGUGAAAUGCUUAGAUAUGACGAAGAACUCCGAUUGCGAAGGCAGCUGACGGGAGCGCAACUGACGCUUAAGCUCGAAGGUGCGGGUAUCAAACAGGAUUAGAUACCCUGGUAGUCCGCACAGUAAACGAUGGAUGCCCGCUGUUGGUACCUGGUAUCAGCGGCUAAGCGAAAGCAUUAAGCAUCCCACCUGGGGAGUACGCCGGCAACGGUG
rnacentral:rRNA from 1 species